rnacentral:rRNA from 1 species
AUUGAACGCUGGCGGCAUGCUUUACACAUGCAAGUCGAACGGUAACAGGCCGCAAGGUGCUGACGAGUGGCGAACGGGUGAGUAAUGCAUCGGAACGUGCCCAGUCGUGGGGGAUAACUAUCCGAAAGGAUAGCUAAUACCGCAUACGAUCUGCGGAUGAAAGCGGGGGACCUUCGGGCCUCGCGCGAUUGGAGCGGCCGAUGUCAGAUUAGGUAGUUGGUGGGGUAAAGGCUCACCAAGCCAACGAUCUGUAGCUGGUCUGAGAGGACGACCAGCCACACUGGGACUGAGACACGGCCCAGACUCCUACGGGAGGCAGCAGUGGGGAAUUUUGGACAAUGGGCGCAAGCCUGAUCCAGCAAUGCCGCGUGCAGGAAGAAGGCCUUCGGAUUGUAAAGCACUUUAAGUCGGGAGGAAGGACUGUAGGCUAAUACCUUGCAGUUUUGACGUUACCGACAGAAUAAGCACCGGCUAACUUCGUGCCAGCCGCCGCCGUAA